UUUGACUCUGAAUUUCUUACUCUGCUUAGACGAGUUAAGUGUUUAGUGCUCCCUCAGUGUCAAGUGUGUUGCAAAUCCUGGAUUAAGUUUUAUCACAAAAACAGCUCUUUGGUUCUUGUGAAAUCUGUUGAAAUUUAGCCACCAGGUGUCAGUAAGACUUGCAAAACAAGAAGGUUUUACAAAGUCCAGUGAUUUUGUUCAUUCAGUCUCUAGGGGCAAAUUAAUACAGUCUUUGAUUAUAUCUUGUUUUCAUUCCAGGGUAAGAGAUGCAAUCUAUUGACAGACUCAUUGAGCACAGACAGAAUUUAGACCUUUUUUUCCCCCUUCCAUGACAAAGCCUUGCUUCACUACCCUUUCAGAACAUGGGCUGGUUUUAAUUUCCAAGAAUUUAGUACCUCAAGAUUCAUAGUGACUGAGGUAGGUUAUCCCUCCCAGAAGGAAAAGGCUGCUCUGGGGCAGGUGACAAGGAGGCAAGGUAUCUUGCCUAUUACAUGUAAACUACCAUGAACUGUCAAUCAACCAGGAAGAAGUAGAAAAGAGUUUUGCAGUUCCGCCUUGUAGAUUCCGCCUCACCAGCCACCCAGAGCCAGUUAGGCUUUCCCCCGGGGCGGUGUCACAUGAUGGCUGGAAAAGAGACUGCUCAGCAUUCUGACUGCGAAUCCCAUUGCUGCCUCUUCCAUCUUUGAGACUCCUACCCUGAGCCUGUAGGGUGCAGGACCCUGAAGGAGGAUUUGGAUGAAAAGGAGCCUGAAAUCCAAAGGACUUGCAAUCUCCUAAAUUAACAAAGGAAACAACUUCUUCCACGUGUGGAAAUUUGAUCUGCUUCAGACUUCCCAGCCUCUGAAGAAGGAUGCUUUUCUGUAUUCCAAUCAGCAUCUGAUUUUUCCACCAGGCACAUGGUGUGUUUCCCGACAACCGCUUUGUCCCCAUUUGGAGUUCCUACUCCAGGUACUACAACUUCCUUUGGUUUCAAGGAAGAUUGAGAUGAAACUUUGCUUGCGAUUUUCUGGGUUUAGAGCUAAGUCU
rnacentral:lncRNA from 1 species